rnacentral:rRNA from 1 species
UUGAUCCUGGCUCAGGAUGAACGCUGGCGGUAUGCUUAACACAUGCAAGUCGAACGGGAUGCUUAGGCAUCUAGUGGCGGACGGGUGAGUAACGCGUGAGAAUCUGGCUCCAGGUCGGGGAUAACAGUUGGAAACGACUGCUAAUACCGGAUGUGCCGAGAGGUGAAAGAUUUAUCGCCUGGAGAUGAGCUCGCGUCUGAUUAGCUAGUUGGCGGUGUAAGGGACCACCAAGGCAUCGAUCAGUAGCUGGUCUGAGAGGAUGAUCAGCCACACUGGGACUGAGACACGGCCCAGACUCCUACGGGAGGCAGCAGUGGGGAAUUUUCCGCAAUGGGCGAAAGCCUGACGGAGCAAUACCGCGUGAGGGAGGAAGGCUCUUGGGUCGUAAACCUCUUUUCUCAAGGAAGAAGAAAGUGACGGUACUUGAGGAAUAAGCAUCGGCUAACUCCGUGCCAGCAGCCGCGGUAAUACGGAGGAUGCAAGCGUUAUCCGGAAUGAUUGGGCGUAAAGGGUCUGCAGGUGGAACUGAAAGUCUGCUGUUAAAGAGUUUGGCUUAACCAAAUAAAAGCGGUGGAAACUACAGAACUAGAGUGCGGUAGGGGCAAAAGGAAUUCCUGGUGUAGCGGUGAAAUGCGUAGAUAUCAGGAAGAACACCGGUGGCGAAAGCGUUUUGCUAGACCGUAACUGACACUGAGGGACGAAAGCUAGGGGAGCGAAUGGGAUUAGAUACCCCAGUAGUCCUAGCCGUAAACGAUGGAUACUAGGCGUGGCUUGUAUCGACCCGAGCCGUGCCGGAGCUAACGCGUUAAGUAUCCCGCCUGGGGAGUACGCACGCAAGUGUGAAACUCAAAGGAAUUGACGGGGGCCCGCACAAGCGGUGGAGUAUGUGGUUUAAUUCGAUGCAACGCGAAGAACCUUACCAAGGCUUGACAUCCUGCGAAUCCUGGUGAAAGCUGGGAGUGCCUUAGGGAGCGCAGAGACAGGUGGUGCAUGGCUGUCGUCAGCUCGUGUCGUGAGAUGUUGGGUUAAGUCCCGCAACGAGCGCAACCCUCGUUUUUAGUUGCCAGCAUUAAGUUGAGCACUCUAGAGAGACUGCCGGUGACAAACCGGAGGAAGGUGAGGAUGACGUCAAGUCAGCAUGCCCCUUACGUCUUGGGCUACACACGUACUACAAUGCUACGGACAGAGGGCAGCGAGCCAGGGAUGGCAAGCGAAUCCAGAAACCGUAGCUCAGUUCAGAUCGAAGGCUGCAACUCGCCUUCGUGAAGGAGGAAUCGCUAGUAAUUGCAGGUCAGCAUACUGCAGUGAAUUCGUUCCCGGGCCUUGUACACACCGCCCGUCACACCAUGGAAGUUGGUCACGCCCGAAGUCAUUACCCCAACCGAAAGGAGGGGGAUGCCUAAGGUAGGACUU